GGCGGCACGCCUAACACAUGCAAGUCGAACGAAGUAGCAAUACUUAGUGGCAGACGGGUGAGUAACAUGUGGGUAUCUACCCUUUGGCCUGGAAUAACACGAGGAAACUUGUGCUAAUACCGGAUAAGUCUUUACGGAGAAAGCUUUAUGCACCAUUGGAUGAGCCCGCACUUGAUUAGUUUGUUGGUAGGGUAAUGGCCUACCAAGACUAUGAUCAAUAGCUGAUUUGAGAGGAUGAUCAGCCACAUUGGGACUGAGACACGGCCCAAACUCCUACGGGAGGCAGCAGUGGGGAAUCUUGCACAAUGGAGGAAACUCUGAUGCAGCGAUGCCGCGUGAGUGAAGAAGGCCUUUGGGUUGUAAAGCUCUUUCGUCGGGGAAGAAAAUGACUGUACCCGAAUAAGAAGGUCCGGCUAACUUCGUGCCAGCAGCCGCGGUAAUACGAAGGGACCUAGCGUAGUUCGGAAUUACUGGGCUUAAAGAGUUCGUAGGUGGUUGAAAAAGUUGGUGGUGAAAUCCCAGAGCUUAACUCUGGAGCUGCCAUCAAAACUUUUCAGCUAGAGUAUGAUAGAGGAAAGCAGAAUUUCUAGUGUAGAGGUGAAAUUCGUAGAUAUUAGAAAGAAUACCAAUUGCGAAGGCAGCUUUCUGGAUCAUUACUGACACUGAGGAACGAAAGCAUGGGUAGCGAAGAGGAUUAGAUACCCUCGUAGUCCAUGCCGUAAACGAUGUGUGUUAGACGUUGGAAAUUUAUUUUCAGUGUCG
rnacentral:rRNA from 1 species